CUCUAACAUGUAAAUGCACAUGAAUAUGCGAUUUGGAUAUCAUUCUGUAUGUGCAAGGAAAUUCAGGCUCACUUGGUCUUUCAUGACUAAAAUUCCAGGUCCUUGGGAAAUCACCAAGAAGGUAUUCCUUUUCAGGAUGGUGGUCCUGUUGUCUCAAGGGAAGAGAAGCUAUUACAAGAGGUCACAGCCAAGUAUUCAGUUGGAAAAGAAUAAAAAGGCAAAUGUGUUGUCAUGUUGCUGUAGCUGUGUUGAUUUACUCAUUCACCUUUAUAUCUUCUCUUCUUUUCAAUGACAAGUAAUCUGUGCUUCUCCUACAGUGAAAAUGAAUAGUGUUUUGCUUUUGUUUGUUUGUUUGUUUGUUUUAUUUAUAUGGGCCUAGAACAGAACCUGAUGAAAGCAUCCCUAGUGCAAGUCCCAAGACGCAUGCAAGAUCAACAAAUGCUUUCUAAUGCUUUCUAACAGCCGUGAAAUAUUUGUUUUGUCUUUGAGAAUCACAUUUAUUGUGUCAAAAGAACAGAUAAGAAGCAGAUAAUCAUUUUACAGAUAUAAAUAAAAUGUAAUUCUAUUGAAAAUAAUAUUGCUUU
rnacentral:lncRNA from 1 species